rnacentral:lncRNA from 1 species
GAGCCCAGUGCCUUAGAUGGACAGUAAGCAAGUGAUGGUUCCCCUAGGGAGGAUGAGUCUUCUGCUUUGUCUGCACAGAGCAGGAGUUCUCCAAGCCAUGGCAUCAGGAGGUCCCUUCACAGGUGGCUGUCAAGGGAGGCGCAGGCAUCACGUUUCUGCAAAGCAAAACAUUGGGGUGUAAUUUGAGGAAUCCAGUCCAAGGCAAGCAGGAUGUUUAACCCAUCUGGAAAUGAAGGCGCAGGCCUUGUGGAGAUUAGUUAGCUCUGCUUAUGUCCUCCAGAGCCCUAACACCAUGCAUAGCCUGUGUCUUCCUCAGGUGAAGUUGGUCAGUAUCUGAUGUAGGAUACUGCCGAAUCAUCCAGUCCCACCCUGCAUGGUGCUAGUGUGAGUUUAAGUCUGGGGGUCUUGUUGUUCUGAGAGACACAGUAUGCGGUGAGUGUCCUGUCCACUCUCUGGUUCUGUGGUAGACGGUUGCACUGCUAUCUUGGUGUCAGAUAUGUGCUGGGGAUUGUGUGUGUGAUUGCAUCUCAUGGGGUUCAAACAAGACUCUUAUGCCAUUAACAGGAGGGUGGUGUUUGUAGUCCUGGCAGGAAGCUGCAUUAGACAUAGAUCUAAGGGGAUGUCCAGGUUAAGGAGUAUCGACGUGAGCCCAGUGCAUCUCUAUCACCCUGCUGGAUAUCUUGGCUCUAGAGAGUGGAUAACACCAAGGCUUGUCUAUGCAGGACACUCAAGAAAGUUAAGACUGAUUAAGCUUGGAAUCAAGAAUAGACGUUAAAGAUCUGCUCUAGGAAUUAUUUUGGGGAAGUUCUAUGGCCUGUGUUAUCAAGGAGGUGAAACGAGAGAUCACAAUGGGCCCUUCUGGCCUUAGAAUCUAUGAACCUAUAAGCUGUGAUUUUUAAAGUGAAUUAAACCUCUGGCUAAUGCUGCAGUGAACUAACGCCACUUCUGAAUGAGAACAUCCACACAGGAGUUAAUGUGCUUUAACUUCACAGCUUUAGUUAAUUCAUUUUAACUUUCCCGAGUGUCCCCAGGUAGCCAAGCCUUAAGGCAGUUCACUAACUGCACAAAUAUUGUCAACCCAAAUAUUCAAAAACCAUGACUAAGGGCCCACCCAAAUCAAAAGUAUCUUAAAAAUCAUUAGUUAAAAAAAAAUAAACUUGGGUCUCUUUAUUUGCCGGCUGGUUUU